rnacentral:rRNA from 1 species
UACGAAGGGGGCUAGCGUUGUCCGGAUUCAUUGGGCGUAAAGAGCUCGUAGGCGGUUCAGCAAGUCGGGUGUGAAACCUCCAGGCUCAACCUGGAGACGCCACCCGAUACUGCUGUGACUUGAGUCCGGUAGGGGACCACGGAAUUCCUGGUGUAGCGGUGGAAAUGACGCAGAUAUCAGGAGGAACACCGGUGGCGAAGGCGGUGGUCUGGGCCGGAACUGACGCUGAGGAGCGAAAGCGUGGGGAGCGAACCGG